rnacentral:rRNA from 1 species
UACGAAGGGGGCUAGCGUUGUUCGGAAUUACUGGGCGUAAAGCGCACGUAGGCGGAUUGUUAAGUUAGGGGUGAAAUCCCAGGGCUCAACCCUGGAACUGCCUUUAAUACUGGCAAUCUCGAGUCCGAGAGAGGUGAGUGGAAUUCCGAGUGUAGAGGUGAAAUUCGUAGAUAUUCGGAGGAACACCAGUGGCGAAGGCGGCUCACUGGCUCGGUACUGACGCUGAGGUGCGAAAGCGUGGGUAGCAAACAGG